rnacentral:rRNA from 1 species
GACAGAGGUCCCGAGCGUUAGGCGGAAUCACUGGGCUUAAAGCGCGUGUAGGCGGCUAAGUAAGUCGGGCGUGAAAUCCCACGGCUCAACCUUGGAACUGCAUUGGAUACUGCCUUGCUAGAGUACUGGAGAGGAGACUGGAAUUUACGGUGUAGCAGUGAAAUGCGUAGAGAUCGUAAGGAAGACCAGUGGCGAAGGCGGCUCACUGGCUCGUAACUGACGCUCAUGCACGACAGCGUGGGGAUCAAACAGG